rnacentral:miRNA from 1 species
UCCAUUUUUAAAAAUGUUCUAUUUACCUAAAAAUUGCAAAAUUAAUUUAGAUUAAUAACACAUUUCAAAACAAAUGAA